rnacentral:rRNA from 1 species
UACGUAGGGGGCAAGCGUUGUCCGGAAUCAUUGGGCGUAAAGAGCGUGUAGGCGGCCCGGUAAGUCCGCUGUGAAAGUCCAGGGCUCAACCCUGGGAUGCCGGUGGAUACUGUCGGGCUCGAGUCCGGAAGAGGAGUGUGGAAUUCCUGGUGUAGCGGUGAAAUGCGCAGAUAUCAGGAGGAACACCAGUGGCGAAGGCGGCA